CCGUCUUGAAACACGGACCAAGGAGUCUAACAUGUGCGCGAGUCAUUGGGUCUGACCAAACCUAAAGGCGCAACGAARGUGAAGGCAGCCUUGGGUUUGCCUAGGUAGGAUCCUCUUUUUGUAGAGGAGGCGCACUACCGGCCCGUCUCGACCGCGUUGCGGUGGGGCGGAGCGAGAGCGCACACGUUGGGACCCGAAAG
rnacentral:rRNA from 1 species